rnacentral:ribozyme from 11 species
AUAAAUUUAAAGGCAAAAGGGAGGUCUGUAAUUUGUACUGUUGUUGUUGUUGUUUUUGUUUUUGUUUCCGUUCGACUUCUUCCAAUGAU